UAACUUCGACCCGAUCGAUCCCCCGGCCCCUAACCCUCGUAUCGGCGCUCGGAAGCCCGUCACUUCUCCUCCCCUAACUUCCCACUGCAGGUGGCGGCGCCCCUCUCUCUCUCUCAGCGAAGGCGAUGGAUUCGGACGAGGGGAAGCUCUUCGUUGGGGGUAUCUCGUGGGAAACAUCGGAGGAAAAGCUCAAGGAGCACUUCAGCGACUAUGGCGAGGUCCUCGACGCCGUCAUCAUGCGGGACAAGGCCUCGGGACGCCCCAGGGGUUUUGGGUUUGUCGUCUUUGGCGACCCCGCUAUUCUUGAUCGCGUCCUCCAGGACAAGCACGUCAUUGAUGACCGCACUGUGGAAGCCAAAAGGGCUCUGUCGAGGGAAGAGCAACAAACAUCUCAAAGAUCUGGAAAUCCCAAUUCUGGAAAUUCUAAUGCUGGUAGGUCAGCUGGAGCAGGUUUUGGUGCAAACAUAAGGACCAAAAAGAUAUUUGUUGGAGGCUUGCCUCCAACUCUAACCGAGGAUGGGUUUCGUCAAUACUUUGAGGCCUAUGGGAUGGUGACUGAUGCAGUUGUGAUGUAUGAUCAAAACACUCAUCGCCCUCGAGGCUUUGGUUUCAUUUCUUUUGAAUCAGAGGAUACUGUAGAUAAAGUUCUUCAGAAGACUUAUCAUGAUCUGAAUGGAAAGGCUGUGGAAGUUAAGCGUGCCCUUCCGAAGGAUGCAAAUCUAAAUUCUGGCAGUAGCCGACCUAUGGGAAGUGUAUCUCAUCAUUCAUAUGGUGGCUCAAGUGGCAAUGCUAGUUCUUAUGAUGGUAGGACAGAUGCUAAUAGGUACAUGCAAUCUCAAGGAGCUGUUGGUGGCCUUCAGGCGUAUGGUUCCUCUGGCUAUGGUGCACCUAGUUAUGGGUAUGGAGCAACAAACAAUGGUGUUGGCUAUGCAGGUUAUGGUGUGGGGGGUUAUGGCACCGGUGCCACUGGUUACACUGGACCUGCUGGUGCCUACGGAAAUCCUAAUGCUCCAAUGGCUGGUUAUGUAGGUGGGCCUCCAGGAGCUCAAAGAAAUCUCUGGAAUAAUCAGGUUCCUGGUUAUGGUUCUGCAGGAUAUGGUGGAGCUGCAUCUUAUGGUCCAGGUGGUGGGUCUGGUGCAACACCAACCGGUCAAAGUGGAACCUCUGGGUACAUGGGUCAAGGUUAUGGAUACGGUGGAUAUGGAGGGUCAGAAGGACCUUAUGGUAAUCAAGGUGGAUACGGGUCCUAUGGUACUCGUGGUAGUGGUGGCCCUGUUAAUAAUUCUGCAGGCAAUGCAGGAGAACAAGGAGGUUCUGCUUACACAGGUGGAGGUUAUGGUAACGCAAGCUCAGGUUAUCCCAAUGCUUGGAAGUCAGACCCUUCACAAACUGGGUCAUACGGAUCUUCUCAGGUGAAUGGCCCGCCUGGUGGUUCGGCUAGUUAUGGAGGUGGUUAUGCUGGUCCUCAAGGUAGGCAAGUCCAGCAGCAGUGAGUGCAGGACCUUGGCUGGAAGCUCACCCUCUACUGCUCAUUGGGCUUUAUCGUAUCUGGCGUUUAUGGAGAACUAAAUUUUAUCCUGGGCAUCGCAGCAUAAGCACUUUCGCCCCACCACCAAAUCGAAGCCUUUUACAGGGUUGAGAGAGAAGCGUUGUCGAAGAGAGGUCAGAAGCUUGUGGUGUUUGUUUGCAGUCGGAACUCUUGUCAUUGGUGGUUUGCAUUAUUCAGAAGUCGUUAUGCUUCACAGAGGUGUUGUUCGAUAACCUUUGCACUAUUUGUUAUGUCAACAUCUUUGUGCUUGCUGUGAUUGCAUGAAAACAGUGGUGGAGGUUCUCGACGAUAACAUGAUGAAUUUUCCAGCUAUCUGGUGUAUCAACAAAACUGAAGUAUAACAUGGAAACAACCGAACGGCUAUACAUUUUUGUGAACCUGAAUGUAUUGUGGCACUAAAUGCUUUUUGCCUAACUUCUAUCAUGCUCUUUGAGAUCAUAAUCAUGUUUAUGAACUAUACCAUUUCCUAUGGAGCCUAACUGUUACCUUAACCUAUUUGUUUUCUGAAUAAGGGUAGGUUAAUGUUUC